GAUGAACGCUAGCGGCAGGCUUAACACAUGCAAGUCGAGGGGUAUAGUUCUUCGGAACUAGAGACCGGCGCACGGGUGCGUAACGCGUAUGUAAUCUACCUUUUACAGGGGGAUAGCCCAGAGAAAUUUGGAUUAAUACCCCAUAGUAUGUUGUGGUGGCAUCACUAUCACAUUAAAGUUCCAACGGUAAAAGAUGAGCAUGCGUCCCAUUAGCUAGAUGGUAAGGUAACGGCUUACCAUGGCUACGAUGGGUAGGAGUCCUGAGAGGGAGGUCCCCGACACUGUGACAGAAACCCGGCCCAGACUCCUACGGGAUGGAGCAGUGAGGAAUAUUGGACACUGGGCGCAAGUCUGAUCCAGCCAUGCCGCGUGCAGGAUGACGGUCCUAUGGAUUGUAAACUGCUUUUGUACAGGAAGAAACACUCCCUCGUGAGGGAGCUUGACGGUACUGUAAGAAUAAGGAUCGGCUAACUCCGUGCCAGCCGCCGCGGUAA
rnacentral:rRNA from 1 species